rnacentral:rRNA from 1 species
GACGAACGCUGGCGGCGUGCUUAACACAUGCAAGUCGAGCGGAAAGGCCCUUCGGGGUACUCGAGCGGCGAACGGGUGAGUAACACGUGAGUAACCUGCCCCAGACUUUGGGAUAACCCUCGGAAACGGGGGCUAAUACCGGAUACGACACAGCUUCGCAUGGGGUCUGUGUGGAAAGUUUUUCGGUUUGGGAUGGGCUCGCGGCCUAUCAGCUUGUUGGUGGGGUGAUGGCCUACCAAGGCGACGACGGGUAGCCGGCCUGAGAGGGCGACCGGCCACACUGGGACUGAGACACGGCCCAGACUCCUACGGGAGGCAGCAGUGGGGAAUAUUGCACAAUGGGCGGAAGCCUGAUGCAGCGACGCCGGGUGAGGGAUGACGGCCUUCGGGUUGUAAACCUCUUUCAGCAGGGACGAAGCGUAAGUGACGGUACCUGCAGAAGAAGCGCCGGCCAACUACGUG